rnacentral:rRNA from 1 species
UACGGAGGGUGCGAGCGUUGUCCGGAAUCAUUGGGCGUAAAGGGCGCGUAGGUGGCGGGACAAGCGUGCGGUGAAAGCUCGGGGCUCAACCCCGAGUCGGCCGUGCGAACUGUUUUGCUUGAGCACUGUAGAGGCAGGCGGAAUUCCGGGUGUAGCGGUGGAAUGCGUAGAGAUCCGGAAGAACACCGGUGGCGAAGGCGGCCAACUGGACCACAACUGACGCUGAGGCGCGAAAGCGUGGGGAGCAACAGG